rnacentral:rRNA from 1 species
UGGGGAAUAUUGCACAAUGGGCGCAAGCCUGAUGCAGCCAUGCCGCGUGUAUGAAGAAGGCCUUCGGGUUGUAAAGUACUUUCAGUCGGGAGGAAGGUGGUAAGGUUAAUAACCUUAUCAAUUGACGUUACCGACAGAAGAAGCACCGGCUAACUCCGUGCCAGCAGCCGCGGUAAUACGGAGGGUGCAAGCGUUAAUCGGAAUUACUGGGCGUAAAGCGCACGCAGGCGGUUGAUUGAGUCAGAUGUGAAAUCCCCGGGCUUAACCCGGGAAUUGCAUCUGAUACUGGUCAGCUAGAGUCUUGUAGAGGGGGGUAGAAUUCCAUGUGUAGCGGUGAAAUGCGUAGAGAUGUGGAGGAAUACCGGUGGCGAACGCGGCCCCCUGGACAAAGACUGACGCUCAGGUGCGAAAGCGUGGGGAGCAAACAGG